GGCGGGGUGCAUGCUACUCGCCGCCAUGGCGGCCGCGGGAAUUCGAUUAGAGUUUGAUCAUGGCUCAGGAUGAACGCUAGCGGCAGGCCUAAUACAUGCAAGUCGGACGGGAUUGGAGAGCUUGCUUUCCAUGAGAGUGGCGCACGGGUGCGUAACACGUAUGUAACCUACCUUGUUCAGGGGGAUAGCCUCUCGAAAGAGAGAUUAAGACCGCAUAACAUCAUUUAAUAGCAUUAUUGAAUGAUCAAAUAUUUAUAGGAACAAGAUGGGCAUGCGGGACAUUAGCUAGUUGGCGGGGUAACGGCCCACCAAGGCGACGAUGUCUAGGGGAUCUGAGAGGAUGACCCCCCACACUGGUACUGAGACACGGACCAGACUCCUACGGGAGGCAGCAGUAAGGAAUAUUGGUCAAUGGGCGAAAGCCUGAACCAGCCAUGCCGCGUGCAGGAAGACGGCCCUACGGGUUGUAAACUGCUUUUGCAGGGGAAUAAACCCCGGUACGUGUACCGGGCUGAAUGUACUCUGAGAAUAAGGAUCGGCUAACUCCGUGCCAGCAGCCGCGGUAAUACGGAGGAUCCAAGCGUUAUCCGGAUUUAUUGGGUUUAAAGGGUGCGUAGGCGGCCUAUUAAGUCAGGGGUGAAAGACGGUAGCUUAACUCUCGCAGUGCCUUUGAUACUGAUGGGCUUGAAUACACUAGAGGUAGGCGGAAUGUGACAAGUAGCGGUGAAAUGCAUAGAUAUGUCACAGAACACCAAUUGCGAAGGCAGCUUACUAUGGUGUGAUUGACGCUGAGGCACGAAAGCGUGGGGAUCAAACAGGAUUAGAUACCCUGGUAGUCCACGCCCUAAACGAUGAACACUCGAUGUUAGCGAUAUACAGUUAGCGUCUAAGCGAAAGCGUUAAGUGUUCCACCUGGGGAGUACGCCCGCAAGGGUGAAACUCAAAGGAACUGACGGGGGCCCGCACAAGCGGAGGAGCAUGUGGUUUAAUUCGAUGAUACGCGAGGAACCCUUACCCCGGGCUUGAAAGUUAGUGAAUGAUACAGAGGACGUAUCAGGUCCUCGGACACGAAACUAGUGCUGCAUGCCUGUCCGUCAGCUCGUGCGUUGAGGUGUUGGGUUCAGUCCCGCACGAGCGCCAACCCUAUGUUUAGUGGCCAGCCACGUUAGGUGGGGCACAUC
rnacentral:rRNA from 1 species